rnacentral:rRNA from 1 species
CCUACGUGGGACAGCAGUGGGGAAUAUUGCGCAAUGGGCGAAAGCCUGACGCAGCGACGCCGCGUGAGGGAUGAAGGUCUUCGGAUCGUAAACCUCUGUCAGCAGGGAAGAACGGUCACUGUGCUAAUCAGCAGUGAAUUGACGGUACCUGCAAAGGAAGCACCGGCUAACUCCGUGCCAGCAGCCGCGGUAAUACGGAGGGUGCGAGCGUUAAUCGGAAUUACUGGGCGUAAAGCGCACGUAGGCGGUAUGUCAAGUCAAGGGUGAAAUCCCCGCGCUCAACGUGGGAACUGCCUUUGAAACUGGCAAACUGGAGUGUCUGAGAGGAUAGUGGAAUUCCAGGUGUAGGAGUGAAAUCCGUAGAUAUCUGGAGGAACAUCAGUGGCGAAGGCGACUAUCUGGCACAUAACUGACGCUGAGGAGCGAAAGCGUGGGUAGCAAACAGGAUUAGAUACCCGGGUAGUC